rnacentral:rRNA from 1 species
UACGUAGGGGGCAAGCGUUGUCCGGAAUUAUUGGGCGUAAAGAGCUUGUAGGCGGUCUGUCGCGUCUGCUGAUGGAAAUCCGGGCUCAACCCCGGACUUGCAGUGGGUACGGGCAGACUAGAGUGUGGUAGGGGAGACUGGAAUUCCUGGUGUAGCGGUGAAAUGCGCAGAUAUCAGGAGGAACACCGAUGGCGAAGGCAGGUCUCUGGGCCACUACUGACGCUGAGAAGCGAAAGCAUGGGGAGCGAACAGG